rnacentral:rRNA from 1 species
CCUACGGGGAGCUGCAGUGGGGAAUAUUGCACAAUGGAGGGAACUCUGAUCCAGCGAUGCCGCGUGGGUGAGGAAGGCCUUCUGAAUGGAAAGCUGUAUCAGCAGGGAGGAAAAUGACGGUACGUGUCUCUGUCUGCACGGCUAACUCCGUGCCAGAAGCAGCGGUACUACGUAGGGGGCAGGCGUUAUCCGGAUUUACUGGGUGUAAGGGGUGCGUAGACGGCGUGACAAGUUAGAGGUGAAAGGCCGAGGCUCAACCUCGGAACUGCAUUGGAAACUGUUAUGCAAGAGAGCAGGUGGGGCAGGCGGAAUGUAUGGUGUAGCGGUGAAAUGCUUAGAGAUCAGACAGAACACCGAUUGCGAAGGCAGCUUGC